GGAUGAGCAGCGAACGGGUGAGUAACGCGUGGGGAAUCUGCCUUUGAGCGGGGGACAACAUUUGGAAACGAAUGCUAAUACCGCAUAAAAACUUUAAACACAAGUUUUAAGUUUGAAAGAUGCAAUUGCAUCACUCAAAGAUGAUCCCGCGUUGUAUUAGCUAGUUGGUGAGGUAAAGGCUCACCAAGGCGAUGAUACAUAGCCGACCUGAGAGGGUGAUCGGCCACAUUGGGACUGAGACACGGCCCAAACUCCUACGGGAGGCAGCAGUAGGGAAUCUUCGGCAAUGGACGAAAGUCUGACCGAGCAACGCCGCGUGAGUGAAGAAGGUUUUCGGAUCGUAAAACUCUGUUGGUAGAGAAGAACGUUGGUGAGAGUGGAAAGCUCAUCAAGUGACGGUAACUACCCAGAAAGGGACGGCUAACUACGUGCCAGCAGCCGCGGUAAUACGUAGGUCCCGAGCGUUGUCCGGAUUUAUUGGGCGUAAAGCGAGCGCAGGUGGUUUAUUAAGUCUGGUGUAAAAGGCAGUGGCUCAACCAUUGUAUGCAUUGGAAACUGGUAGACUUGAGUGCAGGAGAGGAGAGUGGAAUUCCAUGUGUAGCGGUGAAAUGCGUAGAUAUAUGGAGGAACACCGGUGGCGAAAGCGGCUCUCUGGCCUGUAACUGACACUGAGGCUCGAAAGCGUGGGGAGCAAACAGGAUUAGAUACCCUGGUAGUCCACGCCGUAAACGAUGAGUGCCUAGAUGUA
rnacentral:rRNA from 1 species